AUGAACGCUGGCGGCGUGCCUAAUCCAUGCAAGUCGCGCGAACAGACGAGGAGCUUGCUCCUCUGACGUUAGCGGCGGACGGGUGAGUAACACGUGGAUAACCUACCUAUAAGACUGGGAUAACUUCGGGAAACCGGAGCUAAUACCGGAUAAUAUAUUGAACCGCAUGGUUCAAUAGUGAAAGACGGUUUUGCUGUCACUUAUAGAUGGAUCCGCGCCUCAUUAGCUAGUUGGUAAGAUAACGGCUUACCAAGGCAACGAUGCGUAGCCGACCUGAGAGGGUGACCGGCCACACUGGAACUGAGACACGGUCCAGACUCCUACGGGAGGCAGCAGUAGGGAAUCUUCCGCAAUGGGCGAAAGCUUGACGGAGCAACGCCGCGUGAGUGAUGAAGGUCUUCGGAUCGUAAAACUCUGUUAUUAGGGAAGAACAAAUGUGUAAGUAACUAUGCACGUCUUGACGGUACCUAAUCAGAAAGCCACGGCUAACUACGUG
rnacentral:rRNA from 1 species